rnacentral:rRNA from 1 species
UACGAGGGGGGCGAGCGUUGUUCGGAAUUAUUGGGCGUAAAGGGUGCGUAGGCGGUUCCGCAAGUCCUGUGUGAAAUCUUCGGGCUCAACUCGAAGUCUGCACGGGAAACUGCGGGGCUUGAGUGUGGGAGAGGUGAGUGGAAUUCCUGGUGUAGCGGUGAAAUGCGUAGAUAUCAGGAGGAACACCUGUGGCGAAAGCGGGUCUCUGGGCCGUAACUGACGCUGAGGAGCGAAAGCGUGGGGAGCGAACAGG